rnacentral:rRNA from 1 species
UACGAAGGGGGCUAGCGUUGCUCGGAAUCACUGGGCGUAAAGCGCACGUAGGCGGCUUCUUAAGUCAGGGGUGAAAUCCUGGAGCUCAACUCCAGAACUGCCUUUGAUACUGAGAAGCUUGAGUCCGGGAGAGGUGAGUGGAACUCCGAGUGUAGAGGUGAAAUUCGUAGAUAUUCGCAAGAACACCAGUGGCGAAGGCGGCUCACUGGCCCGGUACUGACGCUGAGGUGCGAAAGCGUGGGGAGCAAACAGG